GCCCUCUUCUGGUCUGCAGACAGAAUAUUGUAUACAUAAUAAUGAGCAAACGGAUCUUGGGAUGAAGAGGAUUAUUUGGCUCACACAUUCUGAUCCUCGUCCAACCGUCGCUGAGGGACAUCGCACUGGAACUGAAGCUGCCUACUGGCUGCUUUGCCUGCCUUCCUAUGCAACCCAGGUCCACCUGCCCAGGGCUGGCACUGCUCACGGUGGCCUGGACCCUCCCACAAGCCAAUCUGAUGGGGACCUUUUCUCAGUUGAGUUCCGUCUUCCAGACGACCCUAGCUUGUGUCAGCCUGUCACAAACUGCCCAGCACAUGCACUAAAAAUGUUAUAAGAGACCCUUAAUUGCACUGUAACUGUUCUGUAAGGUUUAAGGUUUGUUUUUAAACUAGUGUUAUGUUUUUGUCAUUAGAAUAUUAUGAUUUGGAAAUAAAAAAGAAACAGUUUUUGGUGA